GACACUUGGAGUUUGUUUUAGUUGUAUUUACCCAGAAUGCCCUGCGCUGUAGGCUACUUCCUGCUUUUGGAGCGUUGUCUCCGGUCGCUUCGCGUUCACUUCAGCAGAAGUGCUAGGUUUGUAGGCGGACAAGAGUUCGCUGUACUGCUGGAGUCGGAUUUCCAAGAACUCUUUGAAACCGAUGCUUGAUGCACCAAUUUACGAGGAGGAGAUCAGAGCGCAGCAGCGAUUGGCACCAGCUGGAUGAAAAUGUCUUAACUUUUAUUUGAAGGAUCUGAAUGUGAUUUACACGACUUAAGAAAGCAUGUAAAUUUGGAGCCGACCGUGUGAUCUUUUAGAUUUCUGUUUUUUUUUUUUUUUUUGUGGCCUAUUUUUGUCGCUCUCAUCAGCUUGAUUACUUGCAACUCUUGUCUGAUUCCUUUUGUUGCACUGUGAAAUGAAUACAGUAUGUCACAAUGAGAAAUUGACCUGCCGUUUAAUCUGGAGCCCUUAACAAGUUGCAAUAGCCCGAACCCAAUUAGGGAAUUGAUUGCUUGCUUUCAUUCCCCUCAUUUGCAUUAGGAUCAUAUGGAGAAGAUAAAUUAGCAUCUUAGCCUUUUGUUCAUGUUGCCAUUUAAGCUUGUGGAGUAUUUAUUACUAUGAAAUAGGCAGAGGGGGUGAAAAAAAAAGUCUUUGUCCCUCCAUGACAAAACCUUUGCUGAUAAUGUGAUGUUAAACAGCCACACAAAGAAAAGCCCUCACUCUGCCGUGGUCACUUGAUGAAUCAUUUAAAAGACAAUGUGGGUAUUGAAGCCUGGUUUCUAAGCUGCUCCAUACUUAACAGCCAUGACAAAAAAGAAAAAAAAAUGUAUAUGAAUGUUUAAACAUCAUGUUUGGUUUCCUUUCUUUGCAUCAUACUGAAAAACUUAACUAAUGAUGAUUUAUGAAUCCAAAACCAACAACACUCCCUCCCCCCGCCCCCACUCUCUCUCACUUAAGCAGCA